AGUUUGAGGAUGUGCAGCAUAGGCGUAAUUGCAGGGGGGUCGGGACCUACCCAAUCUGAGGGUUGUCUCCCCCUAAAAAAAUCAUUAAAUAACACGCUGUGUAUUGUAAAUAAUGUAAUAAUAUAUAAUUAAAAUAAUUGUGUAAGUAGUAAAACAAUAUAAACGGGGCAAAAAUUGCGUUUUAAGUUUAAAAAUAUAUUGAGCCCCCUUCCUUACCUCAUAGUGGUUUGGUCCGUUUGGUGGGAGCUGCGUU